AUACGGAGGGUGCAAGCGUUACUCGGAAUCACUGGGCGUAAAGGACGCGUAGGCGGGUUUGUAAGUCAGGUGUGAAAUCCUACAGCUCAACUGUAGUACUGCACUUGAAACUACAGACCUAGAGUAUGAAAGGGGCAGAUGGAAUUAGUGGUGUAGGGGUAAAAUCCGUAGAUAUCACUAGGAAUACCGAAAGCGAAGGCGAUCUGCUGGGACAUUACUGACGCUGAGGCGUGAAAGCGUGGGGAGCAAACAGAAUUAGAAACCCCAGAAGUCC
rnacentral:rRNA from 1 species